CAAACCAAAGCUGGGCGACCGGCGCACGGGUGAGUAACACGUAUCCAACCUGCCUCAUACUCGGGGAUAGCCUUUCGAAAGAAAGAUUAAUAUCCGAUAGCAUAUAUUUCCCGCAUGGGUUUUAUAUUAAAGAAAUUCGGUAUGAGAUGGGGAUGCGUUCCAUUAGUUUGUUGGGGGGUAACGGCCCACCAAGACUACGAUGGGUAGGGGUUCUGAGAGGAAGGUCCCCCACAUUGGAACUGAGACACGGUCCAA
rnacentral:rRNA from 1 species